ACUAGUCAAACCUUAGAGUACACACUAAAAAUCAUCUUACAUAAUGAGAAACUAUUCUAAAUACACUAGUUUAAAUCCAUACAUAUGAUGAUGAUUACAGUUCAUGCAUAAUUGAUGCUCGCUUCAUACCUGGUUGAUUAAACCACAAACAACUAAUCGUUCUUCUUGAGCUAUCGAACUUAAUGGCUGCUUCCUGGAUGUUUCCCCUCAAUGGCUUGUCAUUCUUAGAAUUUUGAAGAAGGAACUGGAUGAUGGAAUUCCUCUCUGCAUUUGUUAGAUUUUUGUUGACCAUGUUGGUCCUUUGUUGUUUUUAGUUUGUAUAGAAAUGGUUCAUUUCCAUUGCUUAUUUAUAAUGUUAAAAUGAGAGAAACCUUUUGAAAUUUGGUGAAGUGAUGUAAACUUUUGAAUGUGGUAUGCAAA